AUUGAACGCUGGCGGCAUGCUUUACACAUGCAAGUCGAACGGCAGCACGGACUUCGGUCUGGUGGCGAGUGGCGAACGGGUGAGUAAUACAUCGGAACGUACCCAGUAAUGGGGGAUAACUAUCCGAAAGGAUAGCUAAUACCGCAUACGCCCUACGGGGGAAAGAGGGGAUCGCAAGACCUCUUGUUAUUGGAGCGGCCGAUGGCUGAUUAGCUAGUUGGUAGGGUAAAGGCCUACCAAGGCAACGAUCAGUAGCGGGUCUUAGAGGACGAUCCGCCACACUGGAACUGAGACACGGUCCAGACUCCUACGGGAGGCAGCAGUGGGGAAUCUUGGACAAUGGGCGCAAGCCUGAUCCAGCAAUGCCGCGUGCGUGAAGAAGGCCUUCGGGUUGUAAAGCGCUUUUGUCAGGGAGCAAAUCCUUGUGGCUAAUACCCACCGGGGAUGAGAGUACCUGAAGAAUAAGGACCGGCUAACUAUGUGCCAGCCGCCGCCGUAAUAC
rnacentral:rRNA from 1 species